rnacentral:tRNA from 1 species
UAAUCAAUAGCAUAAAUAAAAUGCAUCUAACUGUUAAUUAGAAGAUUAUCAUUGAGAUUUGAUUAA